GCACAUUUAAACAAAGUUGCUUGGCUAUUUUUCAUAACCUCUCGAUCUCUUCUCUCAGGACGCCUAUCACUCACAGCUCCCCAUCUCUCUCGUGAAAUCUCUAUCCUCCUCAUCGUUGAACUCUCACGUUCUACUCUCUCUCUCUCUCUCUCUCUCUCUCUCUCUCUCUCUUCAGAUUGCUCCUCUCUCUAUCUCACUCUUAGUCUUCUCUCGCUCACUUCUUCAUCCAACUCUCUUCUUUACCCAGAAAUCAUAGUCUUCCUCUCUCUUUCAUUCUGAAAUCCCAAAUAGGGAAGCCCCAAUCUUAGAUUCCCCGAAAUCAACCAAAUCUCUAUUGGUCGAACCCUCAAUCUAAAACCCAAAUUUCAUUCACCUAACUCUCGUCUCCACAAUUAGCCGGAUUUACACCGCACAGCCAUGGGCCAGGAACUUGAUGAAGAACAAGCAGCGCCGCUGGUCAUCCUCCGAUGGCAAGAUUUGGGUGAGUUGCCAGAAAAACGAGCUGAUUAUUAAGGCUCCCGAAAAGGCGAGAAUGGGGGUGGAAGAUGGUUUGCAGAAGAUUGCUCAAGAACAGCGGUGAAUCUAGGGUUUUGUAGAAGAAUACCCGAUAUCCACUGCUAGUUCCAGGUGAACUCUUGGCGAGAUUGCACAACUUCAAGAACUCUCACUUCUUAUUUCUGGAAUCUCUUCUUUCUUGCUUCUGGGGCCUUCUUAUUUGCUGAUCUCGAAAUCUCAAACUGCAGAAUGUCUAUUUGAAAUUGCAGAAUGGUUGAAUCAUUCAUAGCAAAGUCAUUGAAAAGCUAUAUAUUUCUUGGUCUAAAGCAUUGUUCUUUUACAUGGAACUCCAGGGACUAGAAAAAUCGCUUUAUGUAAAGCAUUAGCUCAAAAACUAUCCAUCUAAUUUAACUCCAGAUACCUACAGUCCCAAUUGCUUCAAAUUAAUGCACAUUUUCUAGUCAGCAAAUGAUACUAUGAAAAUGGCAAGUUGCUGAAAGUGGCAAGCUUGGUGAAAAUGGCAAGUUGAUGAAGUUGAAAGUCUCGCUGCUGUUAAAAAAUUUGCUUGAUCGAGUUUGGAACCUUCAGAUUCUAUUCAGGUUCUGGAGUGGCUUUUUUGGCUGAGGUGUCUUUGGUUGGACAUUUGGAUAGAAAUUGCAAACCACUCGCUUCAACUUUAAAGGUUUGACACCAUGGUUGCACAGACUAAGUUCCUGGAAUAGUGGGAAGACAAGAGUUUGUAUCAAUAUGUUGGCUAUUGAAACCAAGUUCCUGCACAAACUCUAUAUGUGGCAUGUUUUACGUAGUUGUAUCAGCUUUUGGGAAAUGCUUAUAACAUUAAGAGAUAUAUGGAAAAGGUUUGAUUACUCA